GAUGAACGCUGGCGGCGUGCCUAAUACAUGCAAGUCGAGCGAACGGACGAGAAGCUUGCUUCUCUGAUGUUAGCGGCGGACGGGUGAGUAACACGUGGAUAACCUACCUAUAAGACUGGGAUAACUUCGGGAAACCGGAGCUAAUACCGGAUGAUAUUUUGAACCGCAUGGUUCAAAAGUGAAAGACGGUCUUGCUGUCACUUAUAGAUGGAUCCGCACUGCAUUAGCUAGUUGGUAAGGUAACGGCUUACCAAGGCAACGAUGCAUAGCCGACCUGAGAGGGUGAUCGGCCACACUGGAACUGAGACACGGUCCAGACUCCUACGGGAGGCAGCAGUAGGGAAUCUUCCGCAAUGGGCGAAAGCCUGACGGAGCAACGCCGCGUGAGUGAUGAAGGUCUUCGGAUCGUAAAACUCUGUUAUUAGGGAAGAACGUAUGUGUAAGUAACUGUGCACAUCUUGACGGUACCUAAUCAGAAAGCCACGGCUAACUACGUG
rnacentral:rRNA from 1 species